rnacentral:rRNA from 1 species
UACGUAGGGUGCGAGCGUUAAUCGGAAUUAUUGGGCGUAAAGGGUGCGUAGGCGGUUUGAUAAGUCUGAUGUGAAAUCUAUGGGCUCAACCCAUAGUCUGCAUUAGAAACUGUCGGGCUUGAGUAUGGGAGAGGUGAGUGGAAUUUCCGGUGUAGCGGUGAAAUGCGUAGAUAUCGGAAGGAACACCUGUGGCGAAAGCGGCUCACUGGACCAUUACUGACGCUGAUGCACGAAAGCUAGGGGAGCAAACAGG